rnacentral:rRNA from 1 species
GAUGAACGCUGGCGGCGUGCUUAACACAUGCAAGUCGAGCGAGUGAGUUCUACGGAACGAUCUAGCGGCGGACGGGUGAGUAACACGUGGGCAACCUGCCUCAUAGAGGGGAAUAGCCUCCCGAAAGGGAGAUUAAUACCGCAUAAUAUUAUCGAGUGGCAUCACACGAUAAUCAAAGGAGUAAUCCGCUAUGAGAUGGGCCCGCGGCGCAUUAGCUAGUUGGUGAGGUAACGGCUCACCAAGGCGACGAUGCGUAGCCGACCUGAGAGGGUGAUCGGCCACAUUGGGACUGAGACACGGCCCAGACUCCUACGGGAGGCAGCAGUGGGGAAUAUUGCACAAUGGGGGAAACCCUGAUGCAGCAACGCCGCGUGAGUGAUGAAGGUCUUCGGAUUGUAAAGCUCUGUCUUUGGGGACGAUAAUGACGGUACCCAAGGAGGAAGCCACGGCUAACUACGUGCCAGCCGCCGCGGUAA